UUAAGUUCAGCGGGUAGUCUUACUUGAUUUGAGAUCGAGUUUUCAAAAGUCCUUACAGACCUCUGAGAAUUCCUGCAUCAGUCAGCACAAUGGCCAUUUCUUCCUUUUAUAAAGGUAAGCUGCAGCAAUAAAGUGAAUAAUCCGUUUUACGGGAUUAACUAGAUAAUGCUUUUAGCCCAGAAGAAUGAUCGGCUGCACCU
rnacentral:misc_RNA from 1 species